UACGGGGGGGGCAAGCGUUGUUCGGAAUUACUGGGCGUAAAGGGCGCGUAGGCGGCCUUCUAAGUCGGACGUGAAAUCCCUCGGCUUAACCGAGGAACUGCGUCCGAUACUGAAAGGCUUGAAUCCGGGAGAGGGAUGUGGAAUUCCAGGUGUAGCGGUGAAAUGCGUAGAUAUCUGGAGGAAUACCGGUGGCGAAGGCGGCAUCCUGGACCGGCAUUGACGCUGAGGAGCGAAAGCCAGGGGAGCAAACGGGG
rnacentral:rRNA from 1 species